UGUAGUUUUACGUAAUUAUGCAAAGUAGACACGCAUACUCGGGUCUAUGUGUUUUACAGAAAAGCAAUGAAGCAUAAAUCUCCUGGUUAUAUGUGACACACCCGUAUACGCCACUUCAGGUUAGCUCACUGCCGAGUACACAACUGUUCUACUUAUAGUCCUUGCUUAUACGUUGCUGUAGAAUGUCUACCAAAGAAACCUUGAACACCGAAGCUCUGUUCGAAAAGUUUCAAUCGUACUUUGAUCAGAAAUUCGAAUCGAUCUCCAACCAUAGCAAAAAUGACAACGCUUCUAUACUAGAUUUAAGAAACAAGAUAGAGGCUCAAGAUCUCAAGAGAUCCGGAAACUCCGCCCAAUACGAAUUCUGCGGGAAAAUUCAAAUCCUGACCAACAAAAUCAAGUUGUCUCUCUUAGCCAAGGACGACCUCACAUCAGCAAUGGAAGCCAUACAAGAACUUGAGGAGAUCACCGCCGAUCGAAAACAAAAAAUUCAGAUCGCAGAUUCUAGCAAAGCAGGCUGGAUCACGGUACAGCAUCUGUAGAAAGGAACUGGCAAGAAUCAAUCCCCCGAAAAACAGAAGAGGAUACUAGCAGCAGAAGAAUCGGCCCUCAAGGAGCUGGAGAACAGAAAGCGACAGAAGAAAACAACAACUGAUCGACAACAUGAGGGUUCACUUAGCUCGGCUAAUCAUAGUCUUUUUCGAGGUAUAAUAUCAGAACAGUUGUUAAUGAUUUCAAUGAUACUGCUUCUACCCCCAAAAGAUUUUUCUUUGUUUGGUUCACUCUGAGACUAACCCCAAUCCCAUGCUAAUAAAUCAAAUAGAAAUGAAAUUCUGUAUUUCUCUGUUCCGUUUGUUCAAGGGUGUGAAACUGUUUUUCAUGCGGAUGAGCGCAGCGAAGUAGCAUGAAAAUGUGUUUUACGUGCGUAUACCGUGGAGAACCGCACCAGUGAGGACAGUUGCAUGUGCCAGUCUACCUACUUUUUGUGCAAGCACGCACAUGAAGCCCCGACAGGCCUAUUUGCAGCGAUGUACUGGGAUUGAAUUCUAAAGCGAAUUCUGUAUAAUUAUAUAUGUAUUAUAGAUCAAUCCAUUAAUCCCCGCCCACAGUGUUUUGACCAAUCACAGCCGUGACUGAAGUCCGACAUGCGCAUGCACGCGCGUAUGACACGCGAAGCUGGAAUGUGCACUGUGGCAUUGGAGAGUCGCAUUAUGGUUGCAGACCAUUAACUAAACUGGCAUAGACCCCACCCCAACUUCCAAAAAUCAGGAAAAAUACAUACCAAGCUGUUUGAAAUACCCAUCAAAUUGAAGCUUACUUCAUCGUCUUUAAUUUACUGUUCAUUUUCUAUGUUGAGAGGGGGAGGUAAUCUGAUGACUUUGGGGAGAAAUUUCCACUCAAAGAUAAUCGCCCCUAAAAGAAGUAGGUCAUGAACUCUGAUGUGAUGUGAGUGGCCAUUGUUUUUGUCGUAGUAUGACGAGCCAGCUCGAGAUCCAGAUGAAGCCCAUCGCCAAUUUGAAAAAAGGAUGCCUACUCUCCACUGCAAAAUAGAGUAAUAUUAGGGCCCAAUUCCAUCCACAUUUCACAGAAAUACAAGCUCGCACUCCUGUUCACGAUUGCCGCCCUUCUCUUUUUACAAAGCCUCAAGUUUGUUGCCCACAAAAAAACCAACCAUGGUCUUGUCACGUGCAUUCAUUAUGCCAUGAAAUUGAUAUUCAGUUGGAGAUGAAGUAAUCCUGCAUAAACAGAGCCUGCAAUAAAGUUUAAGGCUACCAAGCAAUCAUUGUGGUGUUGGCUCAGUUCGAGAUCAGGAAGCUGACUUGAACGCUAUACUCUGUGUAUAUUAAAGUGAAGGCAACUUGGAAAACAUCGCUCUAAAGUUUUUGCGUAAAAAGGUACGAUAUUGGUGUAAAAGCAGCAAGAAGUUGGAGCCGCUAUGAUGGAACUUCCCAGCCUGAAAGUUCUGACCAUUUUCCUUUUGAUUUCCGGCCUGGUGGUGUGUUCCUGGACUGAAAACGAGGAUGAAAUCUCUAGGGAGGAAAGCACGGAUCUGAAAAAUUACUUCAGAGAGGUUCACCAAGCAAUGUCCAACCAUCCUGCGACACGUGAGACGUCUAAAGACAACCAACCUGCGACACGAGACACGUCUGAUGGCGGCUUAUCCGACAGUAACAGACACCGUCGCAGGGGUCAGCCGACAGCAGGAUGGAAAAAAAACAAAUAUAAAGCUCAUUAUGGACGUUAUAGAAGAAUGUAAUAAUGUUAACUUAACAUCCAACAGGGUUGCAAUCGACGCGAAACAUGCAUGAGAUGGAAUAUUUUAACUUCAGUUUUCUAUAGAAUAAUUCAAACUAGUCCAACCCUAAAUUGGUCCAGAUCUGAAAUCGGACCCUUGAAGUAUUGUUUUCUUCUGUCGUCAUUGUUUCGUAUGAAAGCGUACCACAUUCGUUAUGUAAAUUCCUUAGCUUCAUUAUUCAGCAGUUUGAAAUUUAAAUUGCUGGGCACAAUGCCGAAUUUAUGGCAAAAAGUAAAACUCACACCCCGUAACAGAACAUGAUGUAGAUGGAUAGAACUGUCACAGUGGGUUAUUAUAUGACCAUUUUUAUUCCAGACAAUAAUUUUAACGAGAAACUAUACUCCCAUGCAACCCUGUGGCGUACUAAAUUCCUGAUAUUUAAUAGGAAACAUAAUCUCUCGCGAAACUAAAUUCUUGAAGUGCCAUCUGCCACCGACGUUGUACAAAUAUAUCAUCAUACCAGACAAUCGGCCUAAUUGCUUUUGUUACACAUGCAUCAUGGCAUUUUUUGUUGUAAUUGUUUAGUCGCCCCUCCGUGAAAGCCGAAACGGAUCCAGUAGCGGAUCUAGCCCCCCCCCCCCCCCUUCAGCUGCUGUCUAAUGUUAUAAAAGUAGUAACAUGGGGCGAAAAAUAAUAAGUGGAAGCUAAAGUUAUUAUUUUUUUCUCAAAUUAUCUUAGUUCUUAGAAAUGCACGAAAAAGCAUCGCAGAUUCCAAAAUAUUGCACCCAUAGAAAGGCGUGUCCUCGGCACGCCUCCCCACCUUCAUACCCCCCUCUCGUUUCCUGAAUCGCGAUCCUCCCCUGGAAUCAAUGCGAUUCCACAUUUGCUAGUUGAUUUUUUUUUGUUAAGCACAAAAUGGCCAGACCAGAGUAUUUCGUUAAAUUUAAUUGUUACAUCUGGUCAAACACAUCUGUCUAAACUACAAAACAACAGAAGACAGUUUGAAUAAAGUUCAAAUUAACCCCGUAGUAUCAUUUGCGAAUAGCCGGCAGCUAUACUUUUUACCGCUCGGUACCUUUUCGUGGGACGUGCGUUCGGCUUGUUAAUGACUUUCUUAAUAGAUAAUUCAUUUCAGCAACAGAUGUUUUCUUAUACCAGUACAUUAAAUACACAUGUAAAAUGUCAUUUUUAUUCUUUAAGGCUCGGCGUGUAAGCCGCCCUGUGUAUAAGCCGCAGUAAACAUUUUUAUGGGCAAAUUCCGAAAAUUACGGUACUAAGUAAACUAAUAUGAAUAUUAAACUCCUUAAGUGAAUAAAACACCGUGUGAAUUCA
rnacentral:lncRNA from 1 species